rnacentral:rRNA from 1 species
AACAUCUCACGACACGAGCUGACGACAGCCAUGCAGCACCUGUGUCAGAGUUCCCGAAGGCACCAAUCUAUCUCUAGAAAGUUCAUUGGACGUCAAGGCCUGGUAAGGUUCUUCGCGUUGCUUCGAAUUAAACCACAUGCUCCACCGCUUGUGCGGGCCCCCGUCAAUUCAUUUGAGUUUUAACCUUGCGGCCGUACUCCCCAGGCGGUCAACUUAAUGCGUUAGCUGCGCCACUAAGAGCUCAAGGCUCCCAACGGCUAGUUGACAUCGUUUACGGCGUGGACUACCAGGGUAUCUAAUCCUGCUUGCUCCCCACGCUUUCGCACCUCAGUGUCAGUAUCAGUCCAGGUGGUCGCCUUCGCCACUGGUGUUCCUUCCUAUAUCUACGCAUUUCACCGCUACACAGGAAAUUCCACCACCCUCUACCAUACUCUAGUCAGUCAGUUUUGAAUGCAGUUCCCAGGUUGAGCCCGGGGAUUUCACAUCCAACUUAACAAACCACCUACGCGCGCUUUACGCCCAGUAAUUCCGAUUAACGCUUGCACCCUCUGUAUUACCGCGGCUGCUGGCACAGAGUUAGCCGGUGCUUAUUCUGUCGGUAACGUCAAAACCAUCACGUAUUAGGUAAUGGCCCUUCCUCCCAACUUAAAGUGCUUUACAAUCCGAAGACCUUCUUCACACACGCGGCAUGGCUGGAUCAGGCUUUCGCCCAUUGUCCAAUAUUCCCCACUGCUGCCUCCCGUAGGAGUCUGGACCGUGUCUCAGUUCCAGUGUGACUGAUCAUCCUCUCAGACCAGUUACGGAUCGUCGCCUUGGUGAGCCAUUACCCCACCAACUAGCUAAUCCGACCUAGGCUCAUCUGAUAGCGCAAGGCCCGAAGGUCCCCUGCUUUCUCCCGUAGGACGUAUGCGGUAUUAGCGUCCGUUUCCGAACGUUAUCCCCCACUACCAGGCAGAUUCCUAGGCAUUACUCACCCGUCCGCCGCUCUCAAGAGAAGCAAGCUUCUCUCUACCGCUC